rnacentral:misc_RNA from 1 species
AAGUCGUAACAAGGUUUCCGUAGGUGAACCUGCGGAAGGAUCAUUAUUGUAUAACCGAGGUGCGAGGGCUGUCGCUGACCCGAAAGGUCGUGCACGCCCGAGUGCCCUCACACACAUCCAUCUCACCCCUAUGUGCACCACCGCGUGGGUCCCCCUUUGGCUUGUUCGGAGGGGGGCUUACGUUUUCACACAAACUUUGUAUGCAGUGUAGAAUGUAUUUUUUGUUUUUGCGAUCACGCAAUCAAUACAACUUUCAACAACGGAUCUCUUGGCUCUCGCAUCGAUGAAGAACGCAGCGAAAUGCGAUACGUAAUGUGAAUUGCAGAAUUCAGUGAAUCAUCGAAUCUUUGAACGCACCUUGCGCCCCUUGGCAUUCCGAGGGGCACACCCGUUUGAGUGUCGUGAAAUUCUCAAAAACUUUUUUCUUUUUGGGAAAGGGUUUUUGGACUUGGAGGCUUUUUGCUGGCUUCACCUUGAAGUGAGCUCCUCCUAAAUGAAUCAGUGGGGUCCGCUUUGCCGAUCCUUGACGUGAUAAGAUGUUUCUGCGUCUUUGGGUUUGGCACUGUCACCUGCUUCUAACUGUCUCAUUGACAAUGAUGGUGCUCCGGUCACCACCGCUCUUAUCGGUGGGAGGCUUGACCCACAAAAACAAAACCUUGACCUCAAAUCGGGUGAGACUACCCGCUGAACUUAAGCAUAUCAAUAAGCGGAGGAAAAGAAACUAACAAGGAUUCCCCUAGUAACUGCGAGUGAAGCGGGAAAAGCUCAAAUUUAAAAUCUGGUGGCCUUUGGCCAUCCGAGUUGUAAUUUAGAGAA